AUGGUAUAGGAGGCCUCAACCUACCAACUUUAUUAAGAAGAAGAAGAAGAAGAAGAAGUCACUGUAGAAAUUAGGUUGUGUGUGUAAAAAAACGUAAACAGUGUUGUUGGCUGAUCAAUUUUGGUAAGUUUUUUAAUAAUUAAUUUCUUAAUUUUACGUAAGUAAGUGCCAUUUUAGCUUAAGUAAGUGGUAGAAGUCCUCCCCAAUGCGUGCUGGCUCCGUCGGAAGCGGUACGUGCAUGUACCGGCAUAGAAAAGUGGUGUGGUGGACAACACAGCACAAGACAGUGGAUGUAAUGCAGAAACGAUAUGGGCCUGCUGCAGGUGUUUGCGACUGUGCGUUGCGUUGUGGUGUAUGAUUCGCCAAUUUUCCUCGAUCCUGGAACGCGGGCUUACGAGGAACAGUUCAAGAAGAUCCCCCGAAAGCUGUACGGCGACGAGGCGAGCUCUUGCAGCACAACACGCUAGAGGCGCAGGUGGCACCGGGUGCCCCGAUUGCGCCGCCGGACGGUGUCAAGCGCUCGUUCACAUCGUUCGGAACAGAAAUUCAACCCUUCGGGUCAUUAUCCUCUGCCCCACAAUAGUUGCAGCAGUAACAAGACCGAACCGACUGCACUACUGAUUGCGAUCAAAUUUCCUGGCAGCAGAAAAAAUCCCAUAAGUGUAUCGAUUUCAUCGACGGCCGCUCGCUGGCGGCCCCAACAUGCCACUGAAUAACCCCGGAAAGGCGACAAACAUUCAUCUCUAGUGGCAAAUUGUUAACGUGAAUCCACUUCCGCGCAUCUACACGGCAUCACGUUAAUAGUGUUAUUGUUUUAAUUGGAAAACACUUGGUAUUAACGAGUAAAGUUUAAUCUUAAGUGCGCUUUAAAGCAUGAAUCGAUAUGCCUAAUUUUAUGCUAAGUGUUUUGAAAUGCACGUGUGUGUGAAGGGGCGGAAUAAGCGCUAAGCAAACUAAUUGAUCGCGUGGGGCGCCGUGGUCUUGAUGGGCCCCAAAAAUGGAACCCACCCCCCGCUCACAAGUAAAAUUGCUACUCACUCCUUCUCUACAUUAGAGCAUUACCCUGCUAAACGCUUCAACCAAGCCUACAUUUGUGUGAUUGCUUAGGGCCUCCACUCGUAUGUGCGGCUUUUACACAACAUUUAAGAUAAA